GUUACGACUAGGCUUGAUAUAGAGGGUCACCAGACUACACCAGUUGAAGAGGAGGAUAUGGCUUCCUUAGAUGACAGCAGAUCCAGUGGGACCAGCAAUCAGAGUAUUGUGAGUGGGAGUAAUGUCUCUGAAAAUCACAGAAGCGAGUCUGAGGGUGAUAUUGGGGAUGGCACAAGCGAACAAGAGGCAUUGCAUGAACCCGGGGACAGUAGGAGUGACUAUUCCAUGUCAGUGACGACUCCAAGUGGAAUCAGUAGUGUAACUGGCUCGGCCGGCUGUUCUACAUGCAUUACUCCAGAACGUCACUACAUGCCACCAAGAGGGAACUUAUCUAUGACUCAAGGAAGGAGUCAAGGAGCAGAACUGUCAGAGACUUUCUUCAGACCUGAGGGUUCAACGACAACCAGAGCAGGAAGAGUAGUAAAACCUGUUAGAAGACUACUUGAGUCAAUGAGUAUGGUUAUGGGAGAGCCCGCAAGUAAGGAACCUCUGGCUGCCUUGUUUAAAGCCCUUUUGACUCUUAUAGAGGUGUAAUCCAUUAAUAGGGUCUUUCAGUUAAACUUUUAGGACCCAGACAAUUUAGAAUGUAGGUAUUUUAUCAGAGGGUUCUUGGUUAUAUGUAUAAGGGCAUAUUUCUACCUGGCAAAGUGUUUUGCUGUCCUAUUGGACGACUCUGGUCAAGGUAACCCCCUAUAAAGAAAAGAGUUCUCACCUGGUCUAAAAGUUUGCUGUAAUUAAGGAGGGGUGAAUGUAAUAGUGUGUUUUGUGUAUAUUCCAGCUAACUUUAUUUUUUUAAGUGGUACUGUCUCAAAAGGGGAAACAGGAUGUUCCAUUUGUCGACAAUGACAGGGGGAGGGUAUAGAUUUUACUAUCUUCUUAUAAUGUUAUUUAAAAUACAGUGAUUGUGCUAGAUAAGCCUUGUCACUGUUGUUGAAUUGUUUCCAACUCAAAAGAAAGUAGUAAUGUUUCAUGUACAUUUAUUUUCAUUUAGAUAUGUUGAUAAUUGUGAUCGGCGAAUCACCUGUGUAUUGUGGUACAUGCUCAUGAGCGUCCCUCUCUCAGUCUGUUUUGGAAACUGAGAGAGACAGUAGUCUGAGAAGAGGGUGUGUGGAACUGAUGCAGUCCCUGUCACAUGUUGUGUCAUUACAGGUAUGGUUGCCAAAGAAAAUAACCACUAUACGAUCAUUUCAAUUAAUGUUUUACUAUAUUGUGUAAAUGUUUUGUUAUCUUUAGACUGUGUAAAUGUUUUGUUAUGCUCAGUCUGUUUUGGAAACUGAGAGAGACAGUAGUCUGAGAAGAGGGUGUGUGGAACUGAUGCAGUCCCUGUCACAUGUUGUGUCAUUACAGACUCACUCAGUAAAGCAAAGAUCCAAAGAGA